rnacentral:rRNA from 1 species
CCUACGGGUGGCUGCAGUGGGGAAUAUUGGACAAUGGGGGCAACCCUGAUCCAGCCAUGCCGCGUGUGUGAAGAAGGCCCUCGGGUUGUAAAGCACUUUCAGUGAGGAAGAACGCCUGGUGGUUAAUACCCAUCAGGAAAGACAUCACUCACAGAAGAAGCACCGGCUAACUCCGUGCCAGCAGCCGCGGUAAUACGGAGGGUGCGAGCGUUAAUCGGAAUUACUGGGCGUAAAGCGCGCGUAGGUGGCUUGAUAAGCCGGUUGUGAAAGCCCCGGGCUCAUCCUGGGACGGCAUCCGGAACUGUCAAGCUAGAGUGCAGGAGAGGAAGGUAGAAUUCCCGGUGUAGCGGUGAAAUGCGUAGAGAUCGGGAGGAAUACCAGUGGCGAAGGCGGCCUUCUGGACUGACACUGACACUGAGGUGCGAAAGCGUGGGUAGCAAACAGGAUUAGAUACCCUAGUAGUC